rnacentral:rRNA from 1 species
GGUAGAGAUCUUUCGGGAUCUUGAGAGCGGCGUACGGGUGCGGAACACGUGUGCAACCUGCCUUUAUCUGGGGGAUAGCCUUUCGAAAGGAAGAUUAAUACCCCAUAACAUUUUGAAUGGCAUCAUUUAAAAUUGAAAACUCCGGUGGAUAGAGAUGGGCACGCGCAAGAUUAGAUAGUUGGUGAGGUAACGGCUCACCAAGUCUGCGAUCUUUAGGGGGCCUGAGAGGGUGAUCCCCCACACUGGUACUGAGACACGGACCAGACUCCUACGGGAGGCAGCAGUGAGGAAUAUUGGACAAUGGGUGAGAGCCUGAUCCAGCCAUCCCGCGUGAAGGACGACGGCCCUAUGGGUUGUAAACUUCUUUUGUAUAGGGAUAAACCUUUCCACGUGUGGGAAGCUGAAGGUACUAUACGAAUAAGCACCGGCUAACUCCGUGCCAGCAGCCGCGGUAAUACGGAGGGUGCAAGCGUUAUCCGGAUUUAUUGGGUUUAAAGGGUCCGUAGGCGGAUCUGUAAGUCAGUGGUGAAAUCUCACAGCUUAACUGUGAAACUGCCAUUGAUACUGCAGGUCUUGAGUGUUAUUGAAGUAGCUGGAAUAAGUAGUGUAGCGGUGAAAUGCAUAGAUAUUACUUAGAACACCAAUUGCGAAGGCAGGUUACUAAACAACAACUG